UACGGGGGGGGGCAAGCGUUGUUCGGAAUUACUGGGCGUAAAGGGCGCGUAGGCGGCCACCGCAAGUCGGUUGUGAAAUCUCCGGGCUUAACCCGGAAAGGUCAAUCGAUACUGCGGGGCUAGAGUGCAGAAGGGGCAACUGGAAUUCUCGGUGUAGCGGUGAAAUGCGUAGGUAUCGAGAGGAACACCUGCGGCGAAGGCGGGUUGCUGGGCUGACACUGACGCUGAAGCGCGAAAGCUAGGGGAGCGAACGGG
rnacentral:rRNA from 1 species